rnacentral:rRNA from 1 species
GUGGGGAAUCUUGCGCAAUGGGCGAAAGCCUGACGCAGCCAUGCCGCGUGAAUGAUGAAGGUCUUAGGAUUGUAAAAUUCUUUCACCGGGGACGAUAAUGACGGUACCCGGAGAAGAAGCCCCGGCUAACUUCGUGCCAGCAGCCGCGGUAAUACGAAGGGGGCUAGCGUUGCUCGGAAUUACUGGGCGUAAAGGGCGCGUAGGCGGACAGUUUAGUCAGAGGUGAAAGCCCAGGGCUCAACCUUGGAAUUGCCUUGGAAACUGGAGGUCUUGAGGACGGGAGAGGUGAGAGGAACUCCGAGUGUAGAGGUGAAAUUCGUAGAUAUUCGGAAGAACACCAGUGGCGAAGGCGACUCACUGGCCCGUUACUGACGCUGAGGCGCGAAAGCGUGGGGAGCAAACAGGAUUAGAUACCCUAGUAGUCC